CGUGUAGGCGGGGAGUGCAAGUCAGAUGUGAAAUCCCGUGGCUCAACCACGGAAUUGCAACUGAAACUGUAUCUCUUGAGUACUGGAUGGGAAAGUGGAAUUCCUAGUGUAGCGGUGAAAUGCGUAGAUAUUAGGAGGAACACCGGUGGCGAAGGCGACUUUCUGGACAGUAACUGACGCUGAGACGCGAAAGCGUGGGGAGCAAACA
rnacentral:rRNA from 1 species